AUUUACUUAGACGUACAAUAUAUAGUCCUCCUAUGUGUGGAUUAAAGGUGUCCCCAUUUUCUUCUUCAGGGGAAUCUUGAGGAGUUGUGCACUUUCCAUCCCCCAGCCACCGCUCCCCUUCGGGGGAGGCUCUUACUUGCUUGAUAUAAAAGGCAAGCAGUUCUUGGCCUGUGAUCCCCAGUGGCAGUGCCUGGCUGUCAGUAUGCUGGCCCCAAUGUUGAUGGACGUGAUGGGCUUUGGCUCCAGGUUUCUCUCCUGAGACCACAGCAGAAAGUGCCUUGGAUGAAGGUGUGUAUGAUUCACAUUCUCUGACCACAAACGCUUACUUUUGAUAAUUAUAUUAAUAAUACAUAGUUAUAUAGCAUCAUGGUCAUAAAUAUUACAUGAUGUCCUGUCUCA